CUGUGGUUCAUGGGGUGGCAAAGAGUCAGACAUGACUGAGUGACUGAACUGAACUGAACUCUCUGCACUAAAAAUAGGUUCAAAAACCACGGGCCAACGUUCCAGGCUUUAUGAUGAAAAAUACUGAUAAGAAAGAGAAGGGAACAUACAUGCUCGGUUCAGCCUGACUUGCCUUCUCCCAGGCCUGAUUCCUGAUAACCAGCACCCAUGGGAGUCACCUGGUCUCAGGCCCAGCCCAGCUUCUUGCCCCCAGGAAAAGGCGAAGAACUUUGGCCUGCAAGGGACACAGACUUGGCAAGAGCUCCAAGCCCAGGGGCUCCAGAAGCAAACGGGAGACAGAAAUGAACGCGGCGAGGACCCAGAACCUGUGCCAUCACUAUCACACGUGAGUGAAGUUGCAGCUUGCCCUCUGUCUCCCAUUGUUGACGACCCUUCAGCUCCACCAUCUCCCACCUCCUCUCUCUCCUCCAGGCAGUAACUCCUUUUGCCUGUUCACCCGCUGUAUGCUAGCUGUAGUAUUGUAUGUACGACUGUACUUUUCAAGGUACUGUACUGUAGGAUUAAAAAUAUCUCAUUUUUCGGGUUUGUUUUUUAAUGUAUUACUUCUGUGAAAGGCUUCCCUGGUGGCUCAGACAGUAAAGAAUCUGCUUCAAUGCAGGGGACCUGAGUUCGAUCCGUGGGUCGGAAAAUCCCCUGGAGAAGGGAAUGGCAACCUACUCCAGUAUGCUUGCCUGGAGAAUCCCAUGGUCAGAGGAGCCUGGUGGGCUACAGUCCAUAGGUUGCAAAGAGUUGGACACAAUUGAGUGACUAACACACAUGUGUGUGAAAAGUAUUAGAAAUCUAUUACAGUGUGUACUAUACAGUUUAUUGUGUUAGUUGGGGACCUAGGCUAACUUUCUUGGACCUAUGAAAGUGCCCUCAGAACAGAAUUCAUUAGUAUGUAGGAGAUUUACUAUAGUUUCAGAUGUACAGCACAAUGAUUCAGUACUUUUAUAUAUUAUACUCCAUUUAAAGCCAUUAUAAAAUAUUGGCUAUAUUCCCUGAGUUGUGCAAUAUAUCCUUGUAGCUUAUUUAUUUAAUACAUAGUACUUUGUACCUCUUUGCCCGCUGCCUGUCUUUCCCCUCCACCACCCCUCUGUCCACAGGUAACCACUAGUUUGUUCUCUAUAUCUGUGACUCUGUUUCUGCUUUAUUACAUUCACUUGUUUAUUUUUUAGAUUCCACCGUAAGUGAUAAUAUACAGUAUCUGUCUUUCUCUGUCUGACUUAUUUCGCUUAGCAUAAUACCCUCUAGGUCCAUCCAUGCUGUUGCAAAUGCAAAAUUUCAUUCAUUUUUAUGGCUGAGUAUAUUCUACUGUAUCCACUUUGUGUGUGUCUAUGUGAGUGUAUAUCUCACAUCUUUGAGAAGGGAUUCUUUUAGCAGCGUUCUCAGAAAGGAGUUAUAAAAUCUCCCUUUUUUGGUAAUAUUUAUGGAAUGUU
ensembl:lncRNA